rnacentral:tRNA from 1 species
GCGGGAGUGGUGGAAUCGGUAGACACGCAGGAUUUAGGUUCCUGUGCUCAGGCGUGAGGGUUCGAGUCCCUCCUUCCGCA